rnacentral:rRNA from 1 species
CCUACGGGGGGCUGCAGUGGGGAAUAUUGCACAAUGGGGGAAACCCUGAUGCAGCAACGCCGCGUGAGCGAAGAAGGCCUUCGGGUCGUAAAGCUCUGUCCUAAGGGAAGAAGCAUGACGGUACCUUAGGAGGAAGCCCCGGCUAACUACGUGCCAGCAGCCGCGGUAAUACGUAGGGGGCGAGCGUUAUCCGGAAUCACUGGGCGUAAAGGGUGCGUAGGCGGCCAAUUAAGCCAGAGGUGAAAGGCUACGGCUCAACCGUAGUAAGCCUUUGGAACUGAAUGGCUGGAGUGCAGGAGAGGAGGGUAGAAUUCCCAGUGUAGAGGUGAAGUGCGGAGAUAUUAGGAGGAACACCAGUGGAGAAGGGGACGUUCUGGACUGUAACUGACGCUGCGGCCCGAAAGCGUGGGGAGCAAACCGGAUUAGAUACCCGAUUAGUC